rnacentral:rRNA from 1 species
UUGACCUCGGAUCAGGUAGGGGUACCCGCUGAACUUA